rnacentral:rRNA from 1 species
UACAGAGGUGGCAAGCGUUGUUCGGAAUUACUGGGCGUAAAGGGCGCGUAGGCGGCCAUCUAAGUCAGACGUGAAAUCCCCCGGCUUAACCUGGGAACUGCGUCUGAUACUGGAAGGCUUGAGUAUGGGAGAGGGAUGUAGAAUUCCAGGUGUAGCGGUGAAAUGCGUAGAUAUCUGGAGGAAUACCGGUGGCGAAGGCGGCAUCCUGGACCAUUACUGACGCUGAGGCGCGAAAGCUAGGGGAGAAAACGGG